rnacentral:rRNA from 1 species
UAACGUACCCCUGAGAGGUGGAUAACCUUCCGAAAGGAGGGCUAAUACAGCGUAAGCCCACGACGCCGAAAGGCGACGAGGGAAAAGCGGGCCUCUUCACGAAAGCUCGUGCUCAGGGAUCGGCCUGCGGCCCAUCAGCUAGUUGGCAGGGUAACGGCCUACCAAGGCGAAGACGGGUAGCUGGUCUGAGAGGAUGAUCAGCCACACUGGAACUGAGACACGGUCCAG